rnacentral:tRNA from 1 species
GCGCGAGUAGCUCAAUGGCAGAGCAACGGUCUCCAAAGCCGUCGGUUGGGGGUUCAAAUCCCUCCUCGCGUG